rnacentral:rRNA from 1 species
GACGAACGCUGGCGGCGCGCUUAACACAUGCAAGUCGAGCGAAGCGGCGGACGGGUGAGUAACACGUGAGUAACCUGCCUUAGACAUUGGGAUAGUCUCGGGAAACCGGGAUUAAUACCAAAUGGUCUAAGAUGGACUCGCGGCCCAUUAGCAAGUUGGUGAGGUAGUGGCGUACCAAGGCGACGACGGGUAGCCGGCCUGGGAGUGGGACCGGCGACAUUGGGACUGAGGUAGGGCGCAAACGCUACUGGAGGCAGCGGUGGGGAAUAUUGCACAAUGGGGGAAACCCUGAUGCAGCGACGCCUCGUGCGUGAUGACGGCCUUCGGGUUGUAAACCGCGUUCAGCCAUGACGCGGUAGUGGCAGAAGAAGCACCGGCUAACUACGUGCCAGCAGCCGCGGUAAUUC